GGAUUAGAUACCCUGGUAGUCCACGCCGUAAACGAUGUCUACUAGCCGUUGGGGAACUUGAUUCUUUAGUGGCGCAGCUAACGCACUAAGUAGACCGCCUGGGGAGUACGGCCGCAAGGUUAAAACUCAAAUGAAUUGACGGGGGCCCGCACAAGCGGUGGAGCAUGUGGUUUAAUUCGAAGCAACGCGAAGAACCUUACCUACACUUGACAUCCAGAGAACUUGCUAGAGAUAGCUUGGUGCCUUCGGGAGCUCUGAGACAGGUGCUGCAUGGCUGUCGUCAGCUCGUGCCG
rnacentral:rRNA from 1 species